rnacentral:lncRNA from 1 species
GGGCAGCAGGCUAAUCCUUCCAACUUGGAUCAUACUGAAUAGGUCAUGUGUCCACGGUAACCCUGUCUUCUUGUCAAACCAUCUAUGUUGAUACAUGUAGCUGUGUAGGGUCCCCCUCAUCUGCCUUACACCCUGGAAGAAACAGAGGCCUCUGACCUCACUCUUUCCUAAAGAGCAGCUCUUUCAAUCAACAGACUUUCACUGGAACACCUACCUUGCACCAACUAUUCUGAAUUCAGAGUCCAUCUCUUCUCUCUGGGAAUGUACAGGCUACCGAGACAGAACCAUGGAAACAAAACUGGAAUGAAAUAUGAUUACUGUAAUAGAGAUCCCCCAAAAGGAAGACCACAGAGAAGAGGAGUGAGUGAGAAGGUUCCAAGAACCAACUCUCCCUCCAAACUCACCAGCCAAGUACCUAAACCCAUAUCAGCAUAGAAUAAAAAAGAUUCAGUUCAUCUUCUCACAAGAAACUUAGCUCUGCUUCUGAAGGAAGGCCAUCUACAAGAAACCGCCACCUAAGAUCUUGACUCAUUGUUUCCUUGAAGCUAUUUAAGUAAAUGUGGAGACAAAUGCCUGUGUUCCCAUUUGAUUCAUUCCUGGUCCUUUCCUCCAACAGAAAUACUCAAGGGACUUGAGCUCAGGGGUCAGUUUUCCAGAAGGAACAAUACCUCUUUAUGCCUGCCCCAGGCAAGCCUACCUUGAGAUAGAAAGAGAGGAGCUACCCUGAUUAUGGUGAGACUACACUCAGUAGUUGAACAAGGUGAUCCCUGAGGCCCUACCAAAAACAAUCAAUCUUUUAGUUCUAGUUCAGUCUGUGCCUGAUUUAAUUGAUAUUUAUAUAUGUAAGUAAUGAUAUUUUACUAAAUGGAAAACACAAACAGAAGUGAUGCUUGUGAACUCAGUGCUGCCCUGGUAUAAAAGAAAACACAACCAAACUCAGCUGACACCUGUUCACAGAGGCAGCAUUUAAAUUAGCCCAAGGCAGAGGGGAAUCACCAAUCACAGUAGUCCAAACUUGAGUUCCUGCAAGCCUUGCCACUGAGAGCUACAGUGCUCUGGGGCUCAAAAUAAAUUUUAAAGGCAGUCUAGGCCACAAGGAUUGCAACCCCUAGGCAAGUCCUUCUGCUGAAUUGGACCCAGAGACAAUGGACAGGUGGGGCAUGUGACCUACUGAGACACCAGCCAAGGUGGCUGAGUGCUGGCCUCACCCCUCCCCUAGCCCCAGGCUAUGCAGCUCACAGCUCCAAAGAGACCCCAUUCCUUCAUUUGAGAAGAGGAGAGGGAAGAAUGGGGAGGGCUUUGUCUUGCACCUUGGAUACCAGCUGAGCCACAGCAAGAUAGGGUACCAAUCAGAGUCACGAGGCCCCCUUACUAGGCCCUAGCUCCCAGAUGACUUUUCUAGACACACCCUGGGCCACAAGGGAACCUGCUGCCUUGAAGGGAAGGACCCAAUUCUGGCAGAAUUUAUCGUCUACUAACUGAAGAGCCCUUGGGCCCUGAAUAAUCAGCAGUGAUACCCAGGUACCAUGUCAAGGGCCUUGGG